rnacentral:rRNA from 1 species
GAUGAACGCUAGCUACGAGGCUUAACACAUGCAAGUCGAGCGAAGCGCCGUUACUUGAUUUACGUUCGGGAUGAAAGUAUUGUGACUGAGCGGCGGACGGGUGAGUAACGCGUGGAUAACCUGCCUCAUACAGGGGGAUAACAGUUAGAAAUGACUGCUAAAUACCGCAUAAGACCACAGCACCACAUGGUGCAGGGGUAAAGACUCCGGUGGUAUGAGAUGGAUCCGCGUCUGAUUAGCUAGUUGGUAAGGUAACGGCUUACCAAGGCAACGAUCAGUAGCCGACCUGAGAGGGUGACCGGCCACAUUGGGACUGAGACACGGCCCAA